UAGGCACACCGCACAGAGCAGUUGUCACCAAGUGACAGGCAACAGCUGAGAGAGCGAAGCCCCCAGUUUAUACCCAACUAUAUGAGUAUCCGUGGACAGAUGUCCUGGAGAUUCAUCAGCUUGGCUCCAUGCCAGAGAGGCUCUGUCUGCACAGCUCAUAUCGGAUGAGUGGGGUGAAGGUACAAGACACUGAAGAGAUAUUUUUCAAAACAAAUGCCUAAUCAUUCUGGAGAGCAAAAUCAGCUUAGUGACCCUUUUAGGAAAAGCCCCCUGGAGAGACAUGGGUAGACAGGAUGCCGGAGAAGUGUCUUAUGCUAAUCUGCACCAGUUACUUUGUCCCUUUGAUUUCAGAUGAGGACCUUCUGGUUUUGUUGUUUCUGUGCUUUCUUAGAAACACGCACGUUAUACUAGCGAAACAUAUUCCAAUUAGAGGCACUGACUAACUAGACAUGUCAUUCAAGCUAAAAGCACACCAUUAACUGGCCAUUUGACUUGAUAAUGUCUAAUUAAAGUCUUUCUAUAACAAAUUUAGCAAUGGACAAAACAAACCCUGUAAUCCAGUUCUGUGUAAUGGACAUUACAAAUAAAUUCUAACUUCCUUCUCAAAAUGUGACUAUAGAGGGUCUGAAUUUAGAUGCUAAUGUGGAAGCAUGUUUUGUUAUUUGUAUCAUAUGCAGAAGGAGCAGAUGUUUGCUCUACCUUUCUCUUCCUAUGUCUGAGCCUGCUAUUAGUCCGUGUUAGAAUCAUUUCAAAGCUA